CCCUUAGAUGUUCUGGGCCGCACGCGUGCUACACUGAGUGGAUCAGCGGGUCAGGUUGCGCGAAAGUGUUUCCUAAUCUUUAAAUCCGCUCGUGAUGGGGAUUGACGGUUGCAAUUUUCCGUCAUGAACGAGGAAUACCUUGUAAGCGCGGGUCAUCAUCCCGCGCUGAGUACGUCCCUGCCCUUUGUACACACCGCCCGUCGCUCCUACCGAUUGAGUGGUCCGGUGAGGCUUUGGGAUCUGGGCGGAAAGAGCGUUUCGCUGUUUCUGCCCGGAAAACUCAGUCGAACCUUAUCAUUUAGAGGAAGGAGAAGUCGUAACA
rnacentral:rRNA from 1 species